CUGAUGCGCCUCCCUGACCCUAACCCCCAUUCGAAACCUAACCUAGCUCUCUCUUCUACAAAUCUCGCCCUCUGCGCACCUAGCCACGGAGCCAGCCACCCACGUCCUCGAGGCCGGCGGCACCCAGGUUCCUCCCAGUCUCGCAUCACCUCGAAGCCUUCCUCCGAAGUCCCAACGCCGAACACGAAGUCCAAAGCAGAGAUCCCAGAGCACCACGAAGUCCCAGAGCAGAGAUCCCCCACCGGCGGUGCACCACGAAGACGAAGCCGUCGCACAACAGGCCACCACCCACUGGCUCAACAGGGCAGCAUAGCACCACGCCACUGAGACGCCACCACCCAGCAGCGUUUCUGGGUUCUAGCCACGAUCAACAGUUCAUCACAGCACCUCCCAGUCUCCCACCCAGCCACCGAUUCAGGGUAUGUAUGUAUAAGCAAGUUGCUCAGAUGGCUGAACUGAAGAAGAUUUUGUAUGAGAAGUUCAAGGACUCGAUCAAUCUCGAGGAGGAUAGUAGCCUUCUUCUUGUUCAUAGGUCUUUUUGGGUUGAUUUGAACUCUAUUGAACUUUGGGAAUUUUUCAAUCAGAUUGUCUCAUGUUUUAUUUCAUUUCAUGUUUAGAGUAUUUUCUUGCUUGAACUCUAUUGUUCUCUUUGUUAUUAGAAUGUAUAACUAGAUUAGAAUGUUUUUCUACUAGUCUUAUAUUAUUAUUAUUAUUAUUGUUGUUCUUAUUAUGUAACUGCUUUUUUAUUUCAAGUUGGUUUGCGUUAAGAAGUUUAGCUGUUUUGUUGGAGAAGACACUAUAAUUUGGCUAUCUUUUAACGGAAAUUUAUUUUUAUUUUUA